CCGCUAGGCAGAUACACCCUAAUUCAAAGCAUGGAAAUAUUAAAAUCAGUUAUAGAUGGCUUCUAAAAUAAUAUAAAUCUUAAUCUGAGCCCCUACACUUACUUUGUUAAAAAUGCUAACUUGUUAAAAUAUUCAGACUAAAUAGGACAAAGGAAUUAUUUUACCAUUUUUUCAGUUAAUUUGUUACCAGUUCCUGCAUAUGUCCAGUAAUUCCUUAGUCCUGAAUAAUAAAGCUGAAAAACACUCCACAAAUUGAUUAGUUUAGGCAAUUACAUUUACAAAACAAUGCAGUUUAUUUUUUCUCAUACAACAAGACUACCCACCCCCAACAAGGACAAAUUCUCCCCCAGCUGUAGCUGAAAAGCAUGGUCACGCAGCUGUUAAAAAGGUGGUCUCUCCUUCAUGAGUCAAAAUCAUAUAUAUAUUUAUACUAAUAUUCUGUGUAUACGCACACAUAAAUCUAUUAUUCACUGAAUCUGCUUUACUAACUAGACAAAUCCAUGAAUGCCAAACAAAUGUAAAUUAGUACACAAACAUGGUCAAAUUUAGCAAUAAAACCUGGUGAACUAGUUUAGUGAAAAGUCUUUUCCUAUGCAAAUGGUAGCAAACAAUGAAACUAGGCCUCAACUCAUU